AUUGAACGCUGGCGGCAGGCCUAACACAUGCAAGUCGAGCGGUAGCACAGAGAGCUUGCUCUCGGGUGACGAGCGGCGGACGGGUGAGUAAUGUUUGGGAAACUGCCUGAUGGAGGGGGAUAACUACUGGAAACGGUAGCUAAUACCGCAUAACGUCGCAAGACCAAAGUGGGGGACCUUCGGGCCUCAUGCCAUCAGAUGUGCCCCGAUGGGAUUAGCUAGUAGGUGGGGUAACGGCUCACCUAGGCGACGAUCCCUAGCUGGUUUGAGAGGAUGACCAGCCCCCCUGGAAAUGAGACACGGUCCCGACUCCUACGGGAGGCAGCAGUGGGGAAUAUUGCACAAUGGGCGCAAGCCUGAUGCAGCCCUGCCGCGUGUGUGAAGAAGGCCUUCGGGUUGUAAAGCACUUUCAGCGGGGAGGAAGGCGAUAAGGUUAAUAACCUUGUCGAUUGACGUUACCCGCAGAAGAAGCACCGGCUAACUCCGUG
rnacentral:rRNA from 1 species